rnacentral:piRNA from 1 species
UGCCAAGUCUCCCCUGAGCUGCUGUUG